UAAGCGGAGGAAAAGAAACCAACAGGGAUUGCCCCAGUAACGGCGAGUGAAGCGGCAACAGCUCAAAUUUGAAAUCUGGCUCCCUUGGGGGUCCGAGUUGUAAUUUGCAGAAGAGUCUUCGGGUGUGGCCCCGGUCUAAGUCCCUUGGCACAGGACGUCAUAGAGGGUGAGAACCCCGUAUGUGACCGGGCGCCUAUGCCUAUGUGAAGCUCUUUCAACGAGUCGAGUUGUUUGGGAAUGCAGCUCAAAAUGGGUGGUAUAUUCCAUCUAAAGCUAAAUAUUGGCCAGAGACCGAUAGCGCACAAGUAGAGUGAUCGAAAGAUGAAAAGCACUUUGAAAAGAGAGUCAAAUAGUACGUGAAAUUGUUAAAAGGGAAGCUCUUGCUACCAGACGCGGGCGCCGUUGAUCAUCUCAGGUUCUCCUGGGUGCACUCGGCGGUGCUCGGGUCAGCAUCGGUUUGGGUGGCGGGACAAAGGCCUUGGGAAUGUAGCUCCCCCCUCGGGGGGAGUGUUAUAGCCCUCGGUGUAAUGCCGCCUACCUGGACCGAGGACCGCGCUUCGGCGAGGAUGCUGGCAUAAUGGUCGUAAGCGGCCCGUC
rnacentral:rRNA from 1 species